UGACGCUUCAGAUCCAACGAACCAUCUCCCUCAGCUUCCACCGCGCACCGCUCCAUCCCACGGAAUCGCCGCACGCGCACCACUCCCAUCCCACGGAAACCGCAUCCGCCAUCAUCGCCGCACCUCGCUCUCCCCCAACCCCAAAUCCCGCAUCAAUCGCCAAUCGCCAAUCCACAUCGCCAAUCGCAAGGACGUGGUAACAACAGGUCGCAACAAACCCCCGCUCUACCGCCGUCGCCGAAGCCUCCACGCGAGGACCUGCGCUUCUGCUGGCCGCAACCAUUCCCCCAACUCGCACGCUAUCCAGACGACGGCGCUGUCAUGGCCCAGCCUCACAAAUUCCGCGUCAGUGGCGCCGCCACAUCCCAAGUGCACAAGUGUGAGCACAAUCUGAUGGAUGAUGUCGAGCGCUGCAAGGGAUGACAGCUUAAGGACUGAAAUUUUUGCUGUUGCACGUGUGAAAUUCUGCUUUCAUUGGUCAGGUGCUUGUUGGUUGAUAGGGAGUAUGAAGGUGUAUCUGGAUUACUCAGAGACAGUGGACGACUGGCGAGACCAUGGAGAAACUGUUCAAAUUGGCAGAGGUGACACCUUUUUGAUGUACUAAGAUUUUGGUGUCAUUUAUAUGGUGAGGUUUGUCUUCCUUUUUAGUAUUUUGGGAUCUAUCAAUUUCAUUGUAGACUGCAAAGCGAUCUGAGAAGAUUUAGAGGUGAUAACUGAUAAAGUAAGCAUCAUGAUCUGCAAAAGAUGUUCAGGUUUCUUAGGGGAUGUUUAUGCAGUUAUAGCUUCAUCAUAUUAUGUAAAUGACCAAAUCUGUACAUGUAUUUUUCAGAAGUUCACUUCUUAACCUGUAGAUUCUUGUAUCUCUCUAAUUCCAUUUGCAUCA